GAAUCUUGCUCAAUGGGCGAAAGCCUGAAGCAGCGACGCCGCGUGUGGGAAGAAGGUCUUCGGAUUGUAAACCACUUUCAGGAGGGAAGAAGCGAAGGUGACGGUACCUCCAGAAGAAGGCCCGGCCAACUACGUGCCAGCAGCCGCGGUAAUACGUAGGGGCCUAGCGUUGUCCGGAAUUGUUGGGCGUAAAGAGCUCGUAGGCGGCCCACCAAGGCGGAUGUGGAAUCUCAAGGCUCAACCUUGAAAUUGCAUCCGAUACUGAUGGGCUUGAGGCAGGUAGGGGAAGGUGGAAUUCCUGGUGUAGCGGUGGAAUGCGCAGAUAUCAGGAGGAACACCGGUGGCGAAGGCGGCCUUCUGGGCCUGUACUGACGCUGAGGAGCGAAAGCGUGGGGAGCAAACAGG
rnacentral:rRNA from 1 species